rnacentral:rRNA from 1 species
CGUGUAGGCGGCCGAUCAAGUCGGAUGUGAAAUCUCUCGGCUCAACCGAGAAACUGCAUUCGAUACUGGUUAGCUAGAGUGCGAGAGGGGUGAGUGGAACUCCAGGUGUAGCGGUGAAAUGCGUAGAUAUCUGGAGGAACGCCGGUGGCGAAAGCGACUCACUGGCUCGCAACUGACGCUGAGGCGCGAAAGCUAGGGGAGCGAACAGGAUUAGAUACCCUGGUAGUCC